UCCCGAAUACCUUGGGUGCUGUUUUUAAUCCUAGCUGGCACCAAGAGUCACAAAAUGAGGUAGCUCAUUUCAAAUAUUUUCCUCAUGGCUGUUCUGUUUCCCCAUUCAGGAAAAAGAUUAUUGGUUACCAUGGUGAUCAGCUUCCACAGCAUUCCAUUCUAAGUAACUACACAGGUGCAGUGUUACUCUACAUUCUUUACUGUAGUCCCCUGAAGAUCUGCAUGGUUUCCCAGCCUGUUCUCUGUGACUGCUGCUUAAAAUGUCCUACAAAACAAAGUGCAGCCAGCUCAUGAAUGACUUUUCAUUAAAAGACACCCGUCUCAUGACACAUCUAUGAACAUCCCAUUGGAGGCUACCAUCUCCUGCUAAGGGCAUGGAAGUAAACUCAGAAACUGAAACAGAUGCCUUCGCCCACAGAUUCUAAAAUCAGAGGGUAUUCAUAAACCGCCCCACAAAUUUGAGAGCAUAGUGGGAAACAGGAACUGUUAAAAAAAACUGAAAUGUUACUGAAGUACUUUCUUCCUCUUCCGGUUGGGAUGUGAGCAGCCCCGGGGGAUGCUGCUGCAAACCCAGUGGGAGAGGGAGACAGGACAUUACCGGCGACACUUCGG